CUACGGGCCGCAGCAGUGAGGAAUAUUGCACAAUGGGGGAACCCUGAUGCAGCAACGCCGCGUGGAGGAUGACGCAUUUCGGUGUGUAAACUCCUUUUAUAUGUCAAGAAAAUGACGGUAGCAUAUGAAUAAGCACCGGCUAACUCCGUGCCAGCAGCCGCGGUAAUACGGAGGGUGCAAGCGUUACUCGGAAUCACUGGGCGUAAAGGACGCGUAGGCGGGUUGGAAAGUCAGGUGUGAAAUCCUAUAGCUUAACUGUAGAACUGCACUUGAAACUUCUAAUCUAGAGUAUGGGAGGGGCAGAUGGAAUUAGUGGUGUAGGGGUAAAAUCCGUAGAUAUCACUAGGAAUACCUAAAGCGAAGGCGAUCUGCUGGAACAUUACUGACGCUAAGGCGUGAAAGCGUGGGGAGCAAACAGGAUUAGAUACCCUAGUAGUC
rnacentral:rRNA from 1 species